GCAAGAGUGAACUAGCUAACUGAAAUCACUUAAGAAGUGAUAUUGUAAGGGAAAAUAAUGAUACUACCUUACUAUAAGUGUUGUCCAAAACUGGUGCCAGAAGACUCGGUAAGGCCAGAAACGCGAACGUUAGUCAUCUUAAACAGGCGUAAAGGGUUUGUAGGCAGCUUUGAAAUCCUGAUUCUUAAAAAAUAGCAACUUAAGGAGAUGGAAAUUAGAAGAUAGAAUCAAAUAUAGGAAAAUUCAAAUAAAGUCUAGAGGAGGGUUAAAAUUCAUAGAUACUAGAUUGAAUGCUCAAGGCGAAGGCCUUUUUCCAUCAAUGAUUGACGCUCAGAAACGAAGGAUAGGAUAGGAAACAGGAUUAGAUACCCUGGUACCCCUUUCAGUCAACGAUGAAUGGUAGUCACUAAUGAAAUUAUUGGUGUCAAUGUUAACACGUUAACCAUUCCGCCUUGUGAGUACGAUUGCAAAAUUGAAAACAAAAAAAUUAGUCGGUCUCGAAGCAAAC
rnacentral:rRNA from 1 species